UCCUAUGGCAUGGAUCACCCGGAAUGCACCAAAUCUCACCAAAGCUCGGAAGCUAAGUCGGCCUGAGCUUGGACAGUGCCUGGAUGGGUCACCGCCAUGCACAACACAGGUGCUAUAGGCU
ensembl:rRNA 5S_rRNA 5S ribosomal RNA